rnacentral:rRNA from 1 species
GACGAACGCUGGCGGCGUGCUUAACACAUGCAAGUCGAACGGAAAGGCCCUGCUUUUGUGGGGUGCUCGAGUGGCGAACGGGUGAGUAACACGUGAGUAACCUGCCCUUGACUUUGGGAUAACUUCAGGAAACUGGGGCUAAUACCGGAUAGGAGCUCCUGCUGCAUGGUGGGGGUUGGAAAGUUUCGGCGGUUGGGGAUGGACUCGCGGCUUAUCAGCUUGUUGGUGGGGUAGUGGCUUACCAAGGCUUUGACGGGAAGCCGGCCUGAGAGGGUGACCGGCCACAUUGGGACUGAGAUACGGCCCAGACUCCUACGGGAGGCAGCAGUGGGGAAUAUGGCACAAUGGGCGGAAGCCUGAUGCAGCAACGCCGCGUGCGGGAUGACGGCCUUCGGGUUGUAAACCGCUUUCGCCUGUGACGAAGCGUGAGUGACGGUAAUGGGUAAAGAAGCACCGGCUAACUACGUG